rnacentral:rRNA from 1 species
UUUURUGGAGAGUUUGAUCCUGGCUCAGGAUGAACGCUGGCGGCGUGCCUAAUACAUGCAAGUCGAGCGAACGGACGAGAAGCUUGCUUCUCUGAUGUUAGCGGCGGACGGGUGAGUAACACGUGGAUAACCUACCUAUAAGACUGGGAUAACUUCGGGAAACCGGAGCUAAUACCGGAUAAUAUUUUGAACCGCAUGGUUCAAAAGURAAAGACGGUCUUGCUGUCACU